CGACAGAAUUGGCACAACAAUCACCUUCUCAAAAUCCAUUGUCCUUGAAAUCACAUUGAGCAUCAGCAUCUAAAGGUUCAUUCUUAGCUAGCUAAUUGAGUUGAGGCAGCUGCUAAGAACUUCUUCGCGCAAUAGCUGACUCCAUUCGAAGUUGGGCUUCACAUAAUCUGCAUCUGAAGGUAUCUGGAAGUGUGGUGCUUAACAAUCUUCAAAUUCUGCAGUAGUACAUCUGUAACAUCUCACAGGCCAAAGACACAUUGGUUUGGUGCGCCCAGUAAAAGACCCACCCAAGCACAAUCCGCAUGACCAAAAAGAAGCCAACAAAAGGAAGACACAUGUCCAAAUUUUUGAAAUUCAAAAAUUGGCGGGAAAAUUCGUACAGGAGAGAUAGAUAGAUAGAAUAGAUGAAGCUCAUGGAACCUCUGAUUAUUUUGAAUCUUAGGGGUUGCUGCUGGAGAGGAAGGAACUUGGAAGCCAUGAUAUAGCAAACCCCCCUUAGAUCUAGCUACUUUCAGAUUUUUGUGACUACUUUAUCCUUUUGCCUCUUCUCCAAAUGUUUGUUUUCUUUCUUGUUCACUAAAUAUGGAGUUUUUUAGGGUUUUGAGUAUCAAGAAUAUGAAUGCAUGAUGAAACAGUUCACUAAAAUGUGUUUUGUAGAGUAUUUCCUUACUUUUAGCUUGAUUUGGACUGUUUUCUUAGAUAACUUCACUUGUUAAUUUAAGAUGUGUGUUUUGUAAUUUUUUGCUUGAUUUUCAUUGAAUAUUUGAUUUUUUAGACGAUUUAACAUAUUAUUAGUUCCGAAGAUUGUAAAUCUGAACCCCCAAAGUAAUCAAUUGAAUUUGUGUUAAAUGCAUCUUCACUUGUGAUUUUCCCGUGUUGUGAAUUUGUUAAUACUGUGGUGUUGUGUUUGUCAUGGCUCUUUAUUUUUCUUUCCUUGUUCAAUUGUUCAGAUGUCUUGAGUCUAAUGGUUAAAUUUACACCUAUUAUACAUAUACAAUGCUAUUUACUAGCUAGAACCACCAUCUUUGAUGCUGUAGUUGUGGUCAUCUUUCUUUUUCGUGCAAUAAACAUUGAUUAGAGUUUUUUCUUAGUCUUACAAAAAAUGGUAGACUGUUUUGUUUCUAUCUUUUCUAUAUUGAGUAUAAGAAAUAGGAUUGCACGUUACACCUGUUAAUUAACAUGUCUCUCGUACUAGUUUAUCAACUGAAAUUUAAUGUCUGUCAUCCUGUAUGUAUUGAACUCUGCUUAUGUAUCUUUACAGAAAAAAGGCACUUCACCUAUCAAAAAAAAAAUGGCACUUAGUUCACAAUUGGGUGCUGAUGUUAACCAUUAAGCACAUGGUAGACCACCACUCAGUUUUAUCGAAUUAAUAGGUGCACUGCUCAGUUUCGGAAACUGAACGGUGCAACGGCAGGCCACCAUUUCGUUCCGUAGAAUGAGUGUGCACUGCUCAGUCCCGGGUACUGAGCGGUGCAAUGGCAGGUCACCGUCAGUUCCUAAAACUGAGAGGUGCAAAGCUAUGUGUCUAAUGGAGAACGUCACACUUAAUGGAAGUGAGCAGCUUCCGGACAAAUGAAACUAUUGGAAAACAGGUAAAUGAGCUUCUCUUUUCCUCCUUUUUUUUGUUUUUGUUUUUUUUAUUUGUCGUUUUUCUUUCGUAUUUUAUUGAAAUCACUGUUGGAAGUCUGGUACACAGCAAGGCAGUGAUACUCCCCAUGUAGUUCAGCUACAGCUGCUGAAACAUAGCUAAGUCUGAUUCUUGGGUAACGUUUCAACGUAAAUAGCCAUGUUUAGCUUUUGUUAUAUUGCUGACUUUGGUACUCUGCUAGUAUAUUUAGGUGCACAUUCUUAACACUCUCAAUGUAUACUUAAAUUGCCCUUAUAUUUGUAGAAUCCCUGAGUUUCUUUUUUGCUUGGUACAUGUCUAUCAUUUUUGUUCAAGGUUUCUGCCCCUUCUUCCGAUGAGUGUCAGGUCGGUACAUUUUUGCCUUAACAAAGAUAUUUGUUACUAACUUGUGUGUUGCUUUUGUUUUUUGCAGGUCUUGCCUUUGCAUUCCUAACUCUAACUCUAUGUUUAUUAACACUUACAAUCAUGUUUAUUAUGUUUUGCAUAAAAUUGUUUCUAACUUGAUCAUUGGAGUAUCUGUUUUUUUUUUUUGCAGGUCUCGCCUUUGUAUUCCUAACUCUAACUCCAUGUUUAUUAACCCUAACUCUACUUUUAUUAUGUUUUGCAUAAAAUUGUUUCUACCUUGAGCGUUGGAGUAUCUUUAUAGAUUUUUGCAGGUCUUGGCUUUGUACUCCUAACUCUUAACUCUACGUUUAUUAUGUUUUGCAUAAAAUUGUUUCUAACAUGAGCCUUGGAGUAUCUUUAUUGUUUUUUGCAGGUCUUGGCUUUGUAUUCCUAACUCUAACUCUAUAUUUAUUAUGUUUUGCAUAAAAUUGUUUCUAACUUUAGUGUUGGAUUAUCUUUAUUGUUUUUUUUGCAGGUCUUGGCUUUGUAUUCCUAACUCUAACUCUAUAUUUAUUACGUUUUGCAUAAAAAUGUUUCUAACUUGAGUGUUAGAGUAUCUUUAUUGUUUAAUGCAGGUCUUGGUUUUGUAUUCCUAACUCUAACUCUAACUUUAAUGCAGGUCUUGGUUUUGUUUCUAACUUGAGUGUUGGAGUAUCUUUAUUGUUUUUUGCAGGUCUUGGUUUUGUAUUCCUAACUCUAACUCUACGUUUAUUAUGUUUUGCAUAAAAUUGUUUCUAACUUGAGUGUUGGAGUAUCUUUGUUGUUUUUUGCAGGUCUUGGCUUUGUAUUCCUAACUCUAACUCUACGUUUAUUAUGUUUUGCAUGAAAUUGUUUCUGACUUGAGCCUUGGAGUAUCUUUGUUGUUUUUUGCAGGUCUUGGCUUUGUAUUCCUAAUUCUAACUCUAUGUUAAUUAACCCUUAACUCUAUGUUUAUUAUGUUUAUCUUUGUUGUUUUUUGCAGGUCUUGGCUUUGUAUUCCUAAUUCUAACUCUAUGUUAAUUAACCCUUAAUUCUAGUUUAUUAUGUUUUGCAUAAAAUUGUUUCUAACUUGAGCGUCGGAGUAUCUUCCUUGUUUUUUUGCAGGUCUUGCCUUUGUAUUCUUAUGGCCAAUUCAAUUAGUAGAGUUGUUGAAACGGAAUGCUGGUGCCUCGCGGGGAACGUCAUCUGUUUGGCCUUUGAUCAGUUUGCCUCUAGGGCAUGUCUGACUUCAAAGGAUUCAAAUGAAGACAGAUCAGUCCUGUGAAUCAUGUACUAAUGAGAUCCUCAUCUUCCCUGAAGGAGGCUUCAUUUUAACUCCAAAGGUCUUGUCUGCUUAUUGGGUGGCCACUCGUCAGGGAGAACUUGUAAUGUGGAAUGCUGGUGCCUGGUAGAGAUUGCCUGGCAUUUGACCAGUCUGUUGUCAAGGCUUUUUAUGCAAAAGACGUGCCAGGAGAUUUAGCAGGAUGUGAAAAGUGCAAUGAUGCGGUGAGACUUGAUAAGCCUGGUGGAGAGAUGAAAAUGAACAAUCGGUGGUUCCAGAGGUUCUUUGCCUUGCGUAGUUUUUCCUGAUGAAGCUCCGAGCAACAUUGUGCAACGAGUCUGAAGGCAAUGUCAAAGAGAUGCAAACCUAUUGGUAAAAUUGAGGAGGAUAUAUCCGCCACGAAUUCUGUUGUGGUUCACUAGAAGCUUACAUCAUGCCUUUCUGCUGCAAUCUCCUUGACUCCAUCAUCAAUAGUGAAUGAGAAAAAGAUGGAAUAGUGGUUGUAAAUUCUGACUGAGGAUGAUGUUGUGUGGGGGACAAUGGGUAGUGCCCGAAGAUAUGGUCCAAAAAAUUGAUGUUGAGGGGCUUCUCAUGUGCAGGAGAAGGCAGGCUGGUUUUUAAGAAUAUGGACCGUUUUUGUAGAAGUUUUAGGAUGUUUUUGAACAAUGCUAAGUUUAUUAUUAUGUAGUUAUUGUCAUUCUUUCUUUCUUGUAAAGAUGUGAUGUGAUGCGAAUAUAUGCAAGUUAAACAUUUUGCUUGGAAUUCAACACGGAGAAUUGAUCUAAAAAAGGGAUUAUCAUUUUGCA